rnacentral:rRNA from 1 species
CCUACGGGAGGCAGCAGUGGGGAAUAUUGGGCAAUGGGCGCAAGCCUGACCCAGCAACGCCGCGUGAAGGAAGACGGCCCUCGGGUUGUAAACUUCUUUUAUCAAGGACGAAACAAAUGACGGUACUUGAUGUAUCAGCCACAGCUAACUACGUGCCAGCAGCCGCGGGAAUACGUAGGUGGCAAGCGUUACCCGGAUUUACUGGGUGUAAAGGGCGUGUAGGCGGGACUGCAAGUCAGAUGUGAAAACCAUGGGCUCAACCCAUGGCCUGCAGUUGAAACUGUAGUUCUUGAGUGUGGGAGAGGCAGGCGGAAUGCGGGGUGUAGCGGUGAAAUGCGUAGAUAUACGGAGGAACACCAGUGGCGAAGGCGGCCUGCUGGACAAUAACUGACGCUGAGGCGCGAAAGCGUGGGGAGCAAACAGGAUUAGAUACCCCGGUAGUC